GCAGGACGGCGGCUUUGCGCGCUGCGUCUAUGGUGCUGCCGUUUGCAUCGGCACAUGGUGGCCUUGGAAGAGGCGACGCCGGCCACUCCGGCGGCGGCGGCCCGCUUCACCCGAGAUUGGAGCGGCACGGCGGCGUGAGCACGGGGCGGCGCAUCGGCGGCCGGAAAUUGAAGGCCGAAGGCAUGGAGACGGCGUCCCGUCUUUGCGCGCUUCGCUGGGCCGGCUGGCUCGCCGUUGGCCGCCCGCGUUUAUUCGUCGGCUUAUCCUUUCUGCCUCCACGCGUGCUGGCGGCGCAUUACCGGUGAUGGAACUCCGAGUACGGGGUGUCUACUGGAAGGCCUGACAGAUGCUUCUCUGCCAUCCUCAACGCAGCUUGGAGGGCACUGAUACUGCGAAUUCUGUCGUUCAACAUCAUGGUCUGAAAAUAAGAAAGGAAAUAUUACACACCUGGCUUGAUUCAAAUGCAGUAGUAAUUCCUGUUUCCGACGUUCACUUGUUACCUGACUAUUUGUGAGCAGGCUAUUGUACUUAUUUCAGUAUGAAUGCUUCUAUGUUUUUUUUACAGGUUGGUCAUGUUAUUAUGAAAUAUCUAAGUGAUACUAA